AUGGAACAUAACAAAGCUCAAGGCCCAGAUGGUUUCCUCGCAGAAUUCUAUCAGAAUUUAUGGGAUAUCAUCAAGACUGACCUUUUGGAGUUGUUCAAUUGUUUUCACGCCGACCGACUAGACCUAUUCAGACUUAAUUUUGGUGAGAUUGUCUUGUUGCCAAAGAGUAAGGAGGCUGAACGGAUCCAACAGUUCAGACCUAUAUGCCUCCUUAAUGUUAGCUUCAAGGUUUUCACCAAAGUGGCUACGAAUAGGUUAAACUCGGUAGUUGACCAUAUUGUCCGGCCAUCUCAAACGACAUUCAUG
rnacentral:rRNA from 1 species